rnacentral:tRNA from 1 species
GCCAGUAUGAUGUAGUGGUUUGAGUGCUGGACUAUGACUCUGGAGAACAAGGUUCAAAUCCUGUCUUGUCC